AUAAAAUAACGCCAUUAAAAUUUGAAUUUAAUUGUAGAAAAUUCAAAAUUAAGAGAGAUGAGAUUAAUUGAACCAAGUUAAAUUUAAGAUUAAAAUUGAACCUGAACAUAAAUUUAAGAAUGAAAUCAAGCCUUUGGCUACAAAAUUAGUUUAUUAUCAUUCUUACUUCGAAAUUCUAGCGAAGAUGAACAUUUGUCUAAUAUUUUAUUAGUUGCAAAAGGGCUCUUACACAAGUUGUACACUGUUCUACAUGAUAUUUACUUGCAUACAUUCUCACUAAUGAUAUAAUGCCCUGUGAUUGUCCAACAGUUCGAUGCUAAUCCCUUGAUGAUAUGGAACAGUGUAUUUUGAUCUUUUACACGUUUGUAUGGACAUGCAUGAUUCUAAAGAUUUUGAAAUACAUGCGUCCCUAAGAAACUAAACUAAACUUCAAGCCCAAAGGGCAAGGAUGGACAUUGCAGUGGAGCCAAGAGUUAGAGCAAUGAAAGAUGUCUUCUUCAACCAUGGAGUAGAAUUCAUCAACUUGUUAUGGAAAAAAUCAACAGCUAUGAGAUCAACAAGACCCAUGUAUAUAAGAAUGCCUGAAGAGAGGGACCCCAAUAAUCCUUCCAUAAUCAAGGCAUUAGGAUUACUGUCAUCAUACCCUGUCAAUGAAAAAACAAUCAUCCCUAACACUAUACCUACUGGUGUAGUUACUGAAAACAUGAAGCACAUGUAGGCCACUGUUCCAAAGCUAAAUCCUGCCUGAGCGAUGCAGCCACCGAGGCCCAUCCCUUCGAAGAUCUGGUGAAACGCAAGAGCAGCAACAAGAGGCCUGAUGGUGCACUGAUUCUGCGACAUACCCAUUGUUACCCCAAUUAUCACUGAGUGAAAUAUAAUCCCAAUCUCCAAAACCUGUGAAACCAAUCUCUGCUUUAGCUUCACCAAAUAUUCCUCUCCUCCUUUCUCAGCCAACUCAGCUUUGGACAAUUCUCCCACCUUCUUUCCCACAAUUUCCUCCUGUGUCCCAACCGGAGUAUAAUCCCCAAUCUGCUUCUCUUCACCGCCAUGGCCAUGACCAUGACUGUGUUCCACGUGCGCACUCGCCGUUAUGUCCACUAACAAAGCAAGUAAAGCACCGAUCAAGGUAACCAAUCCAGCGAAAGGAAAGUCCUUCCAGGGAUGCUUGGAGGCUACGUGGCAAUUAGAGAGGGCAUCGUAAGCAUCAGGGAGGACGUGUACUAAAGAGGUGGACAAAAUUACACCGGCAGCAAAGCAUUUGAUCACUAGAAUCGCCUUAUCGUAAAGGGGCUUACCAUGAAAAUAACGAGCUAAGAAUACCGGAGAAGAGAUGCCUAUAACGCUAGUAAAGAAGAUUACGAUGACAGAGAUUAGCUUCAGAUGGGUUGCCGCCUUGCUGUCCCGGCAGCUCAGGGCUCGAGCCGUGUCAGUCACGCAAGCCAACGAAGCUGCCAUGGAAAAAAAGAGAGAACGCAACCCACGCAAGUGCGAUUGUGUUAGGGAUUAGACGAGAGCCAGAUAGAGAGAGAGAAGGGAUUUGGGAGUCUAUGAUAAGUGU
rnacentral:misc_RNA from 1 species